AUAACUCGCAGAGCUGGGCUGGUAAAAUUGCAGUGCUAAGAACACUGGACCCGGUCUGCUACAAUGCUGCUGCUGCACAGAGCUGUGGUCCUCAGGCUCAAACAGGCCUGCAGGCUGCUCAGGAGUCAACACACAUAUACACUAAGGAGGAAGUGAGUUCCCACACCAGCCCUGAGACUGGGAUCUGGGUGACUCUGGGCUCUGAGGUCUUUGAUGUCACAGAAUUUGUGGACUUACAUCCAGGGGGCCCUUCAAAGCUGAUGCUAGCAGCUGGGGGUCCCCUAGAGCCCUUCUGGGCCCUCUAUGCUGUUCACAACCAGUCCCAUGUGCGUGAGUUACUGGCUCAGUACAAGAUUGGGGAGCUGAACCCUGAAGACAAGGUAGCCCCCACCGUAGAGACCUCUGACCCUUAUGCUGAUGAUCCUGUACGUCACCCAGCCCUGAAGGUCAACAGCCAGCGGCCCUUUAAUGCAGAACCCCCCCCUGAGCUGCUGACAGAAAACUACAUCACACCCAACCCUAUCUUCUUCACCCGGAACCAUCUGCCUGUACCUAACCUGGAU
rnacentral:sRNA from 1 species